rnacentral:sRNA from 1 species
UCGCAUCACAUGCAGCCGCCAGGGCCGCCU